UGGGAAAAGUUUGUUUAUGUUUUGAAGGGCAGGUCCACACACACACACACACACACACACGCACAGAGAGAGAGAGGAUUCGUUUACUGUUGUGCUUUAAACUUGUUAUGGGAGUUAUGGGAGGAGGUUCUGUUUUCAUUUAAUGUGACGCUGUUUUAUUUCCUCCUCAAUAUCGACAACGCAGUGUCAAAUAGACCAUGUGAUGCAACAAGUGCAGUUGUGCUGGAUCAGCCGGUUUAUUCUCUGUUUACAUGUGGGUUUACCUCAUGGCAGCCACAACAUGUUUCCUUGGAUCCUAGGACCUCAGAUUUCAAGAAAGUCACGGUAAAUAGUUUGAACUGUAUUACCCAAGGUAAUUUACAGUUAUUUACUUUGUUUUGGAGUUUGUCUGUGACUAAGCGAUACAGUAGCUGCAUAACACAUAUGAUCAUCUUCAUCAUAACCACUUAAAAUACAUAGAUUCAAGCCUGCUAGUGUUAGUGAUAUCUUCUAUUAUUACAAGUGAUAAAAUGUUAAGACAAAUUAAGGUUAACUUAAUGAAUAAAAAUGAAAUGAUGGCCAAGGAAUGAUGGCAAAAUCUGCUCAAGAAAUGCAUCUGAUUUUCAGCACUGGCUCUUUUCAGUUUUAAAGGGAUAGUUCUCCCAAAAAUGAAAGUUCUACCCAAGCGGCAACCUCCUGCUCUCUCUCGUGAAGCCAACAAGGAAGUGACUAAAACACUACACUUUUAAGCCUUAAAGUUCUGUAUAAUUAAGGGCGUGGCCACUUGAGUGACAGGUGGAUUGCCGCUGCAGUGCUGACACUGCCGUUGAGCUAGGUGGGCGUGGCUUCAGCAACCAGCUCCCAUCUUUUUGCCCAUUUUCGAUGAUCCGGGAGUGUCGUGUGGUGACGCGCUACCAAGAUGGUGAUGGCCGCCUCCGCCUACUUUGAGCUUCAAAAAUGCUCUUCAGGAAACUAAGGGUGACGUCAUGGACACUACUUCCAUGUUUUUAUACACUCUAUGGUUCUGCCAUCAUUUACUCAACCUCAAGUUGUUUCAAAUCUGCAUGAGUUUCCUUCUUCUUUUGAGCACAAAAAAUAUAUAUUUUGAAGAAAUUUUGUAACCAAAGAUUGGAUGGUAUCCAUCAACUUCCAUAGCAUGAGGGAAAAAACUUCUAUGGAAGUCAGUGGUUACUGUCAACUGUUUGAGUACCAAAAUUACAUCUUUUGUGCUGAAC
rnacentral:lncRNA from 1 species